UACGGAGGGGGCUAGCGUUAUUCGGAAUUACUGGGCGUAAAGCGCACGUAGGCGGAUCAGAAAGUCAGAGGUGAAAUCCCAGGGCUCAACCUUGGAACUGCCUUUGAAACUCCUGGUCUUGAGGUCGAGAGAGGUGAGUGGAAUUCCGAGUGUAGAGGUGAAAUUCGUAGAUAUUGGGAGGAACACCAGUGGCGAAGGCGGCUCGCUGGACAAGUAUUGACGCUGAGGUGCGAAAGCGUGGGGAGCAAACAGGAUUAGAUACCCGAGUAGU
rnacentral:rRNA from 1 species